rnacentral:pre_miRNA from 1 species
AGCAAAAUUACUGGGUCAUAUGGUAACUCUGUGUUUAAGUUUCUGAGGAAUUGCCAGAUUGUUUUCCAAAGUAGCUGCACCAUUUUACAAUCCCAGUAGCAAU